ACUCCUACGGGAGGCAGCAGUGGGGAAUCUUAGACAAUGGGCGCAAGCCUGAUCUAGCCAUGCCGCGUGAGUGAUGAAGGCCUUAGGGUCGUAAAGCUCUUUCGCCAGGGAUGAUAAUGACAGUACCUGGUAAAGAAACCCCGGCUAACUCCGUGCCAGCAGCCGCGGUAAUACGGAGGGGGUUAGCGUUGUUCGGAAUUACUGGGCGUAAAGCGCGCGUAGGCGGAUUAGUCAGUUAGAGGUGAAAUCCCAGGGCUCAACCCUGGAACUGCCUUUAAUACUGCUAGUCUUGAGUUCGAGAGAGGUGAGUGGAAUUCCGAGUGUAGAGGUGAAAUUCGUAGAUAUUCGGAGGAACACCAGUGGCGAAGGCGGCUCACUGGCUCGAUACUGACGCUGAGGUGCGAAAGUGUGGGGAGCAAACAGGAUUAGAUACCCUGGUAGGAUAGCG
rnacentral:rRNA from 1 species